rnacentral:lncRNA from 1 species
UUUGAAGCAUUUAAUAGAAUAUGAAUGGAAAUGGAUCGUACACCAAUAUAUACCAAAAGGUCAUCUAGAAUAAAUCCAAUAUAUACAAAUAAAUAAAUAAAUAAAUAAAGAGGACAAGGAUAAUCGGUAUACCCUUUACAAUGCAAUCCCAAAUCUAGUGGCUCUCCACAGCUUCCUCAACAAAACUUAGAAAUACCCACAAACAUCUCAAACCUUUCACAGAAGAAAAAAAAACAAAGAAAAUAUAGAGAGAGUUUCUUUUCAAAAAUCCAGCAAGUCGUCCCCUUUAGCUGUCCUCCCUCUCUCCCAGAAUGCUCAUUUUUUUCCUUCUUAAUCCAAAAUUUUUGGUCCUCUAACAGCUCAACCCAUGCCCUGUUUUCACCUACCCCAACUGCUCCCAAUCAACACUGCACCUCUUUUUCUGCUCUCAGCAACAACAAAAAGAAAUGCCACAACCAUGUAAGCAAAAGGGGUCAGACCUAAUAUAAGAUUUAAUAAAUAUAUCAGCCCAAAUCUAACUAAUAUAAUAGGCCCAAAUAAAACCAAAUAGCAAUCCAACAAGCCAAAUCUCAACACUAAUAAAUAGAAAACAGAAAUCAACCCAAAAUAAGCCCAAAUGAAUAAAUCAAAGGCCCAAUAGGAAAUCCAAUAAUAUGUAAGCCCAAAUUACACAAAUCUGCAACCCAAAUCAACAUCCUUAAAGUCUGUAAACACAAUCCAAAGCCCAAACAAACAAAACCCAAAUCUCCAAACAAAACACUGUAGAAAUCAAAAGGAAGAAAGAAAGGGUUACCUUUAAAAUGAAAGUGGAAAGAAUGAGUGUCGGGGUGGAGAGAAAAGAUAGAUAGAUAGAUAGAUAGAGAGAGAGAGAGAGAUAGAGACAUGGAAGAUAUGGUCGGAGAUGGGGGCAGUCGUCGAUGGUGGAGGUAAUUGUCAGUCGGCGGUGGCGUCGCCGAUAGCAAUGGUGAGAUAGGUAACCAUCAUGGAGAUCAGGGAGAGAGAGAGAGAGAGGGGGAAAAAGAGAGAGAAAGAGAGAAGAAGAAAAAAAAGAAAAAAAAAAGAAACAAGGACUGAUCGGAGCAAGAUGGUUGUUGUCGGCGUCGUGGGGCCACGACAGUGAGACUACCGACAGUGAUAUAAGGGGUGAGUGAGAGAGAAAGAGGGAGAAAUAGGGAGAAAUAGGGAGAAAAUAAGGGAUAUGGGUGUGGAGAAAAAGUAAAGAAGAAAGAAAAAAGGAAAAAUGGGAAAAAAAAUAGGAAGAAAAGAAAGAAGAUGGGAAGAAGAAAAAAAAA